AUUGAACGCUGGCGGCAUGCUUUACACAUGCAAGUCGAACGGUAACAGGCCGCAAGGUGCUGACGAGUGGCGAACGGGUGAGUAAUGCAUCGGAACGUGCCCAGUCGUGGGGGAUAACGCAGCGAAAGCUGUGCUAAUACCGCAUACGAUCUAUGGAUGAAAGCGGGGGACCGUAAGGCCUCGCGCGAUUGGAGCGGCCGAUGUCAGAUUAGGUAGUUGGUGGGGUAAAGGCCUACCAAGCCGACGAUCUGUAGCUGGUCUGAGAGGACGACCAGCCACACUGGGACUGAGACACGGCCCAGACUCCUACGGGAGGCAGCAGUGGGAAUUUUGGACAAUGGGCGCAAGCCUGAUCCAGCAAUGCCGCGUGCAGGAAGAAGGCCUUCGGGUUGUAAACUGCUUUUGUACGGAACGAAACGGUCUGGGUUAAUACCCUGGACUAAUGACGGUACCGUAAGAAUAAGCACCGGCUAACUACGUGCCAGCCGCCGCAGUAACAC
rnacentral:rRNA from 1 species